UACGUAGGGCGCAAGCGUUGUCCGGAAUUAUUGGGCGUAAAGAGCUCGUAGGCGGCCUGUUACGUCUGCUGUGAAAUCCCGGGGCUUAACCCCGGGCGUGCAGUGGAUACGGGCAGGCUGGAGGCAGGCAGGGGAGAACGGAAUUCCCGGUGUAGCGGUGAAAUGCGCAGAUAUCGGGAGGAACACCGGUGGCGAAGGCGGCUACCUGGACCAGCACUGACACUGAGGCACGAAAGCGUGGGGAGCAAACAGG
rnacentral:rRNA from 1 species